AGAGUUUGAUCCUGGCUCAGAACGAACGUUGGCGGCAUGGAUUAGGCAUGCAAGUCGAGGGAAUCCCAGCAAUGGGGGAACCGGCGUAAGGGGCAGUAAGGCAUGGGUACCUACCCCGGGGUUCGGGAUAGCCACCAGAGAUGGUGGGUAAUACCGGAUGACCUCGUGAGAGCAAAGAUUUAUCGCCCUGGGAGGGGCCCAUGUGAUAUUAGCUAGUUGGUGAGGUAACGGCUCACCAAGGCGAAGAUGUCUAGCGGGUGUGAGAGCACGACCCGCGCCACUCGCACUGAGACACUGGCGAGACACCUACGGGUGGCUGCAGUCGAGGAUCUUCGGCAAUGGGCGAAAGCCUGACCGAGCGAUGCCGCGUGCGCGAUGAAGGCCUUCGGGUUGUAAAGCGCGAAAGAGGGGAGAAAAGCCCGCAAGGGUUUGAUCUAUCCUCAGUAAGCUCGGGCUAAGUUCGUGCCAGCAGCCGCGGUAAGACGAACCGAGCGAACGUUGUUCGGAAUCACUGGGCUUAAAGGGCGCGUAGGCGGGCUGUCAAGUCUGGGGUGAAAUCCCGCGGCUCAACCGUGGAACUGCCUCAGAUACUGACGGUCUCGAGGGAGGUAGGGGCGAGCGGAACUGAUGGUGGAGCGGUGAAAUGCGUUGAUAUCAUCAGGAACUCCGGUGGCGAAGGCGGCUCGCUGGACCUCUUCUGACGCUGAGGCGCGAAAGCUAGGGGAGCAAACGGGAUUAGAUACCCCGGUAGUCCUAGCCCUAAACGUUGGGUACUAGGUAGUAGACUAGACAUGGGUUUACUGCCGAAGCAAAAGUGCUAAGUACCCCGCCUGGGGAGUAUGGUCGCAAGGCUGAAACUCAAAGGAAUUGACGG
rnacentral:rRNA from 1 species